UACGUAGGGUGCGAGCGUUGUCCGGAAUUAUUGGGCGUAAAGAGCUCGUAGGCGGCUUGUCGCGUCGGAUGUGAAAGCCCGGGGCUUAACUCCGGGUCUGCAUUCGAUACGGGCAGGCUAGAGUUCGGUAGGGGAGAUCGGAAUUCCUGGUGUAGCGGUGAAAUGCGCAGAGUAUCAGGAAGAACACCCGUGGCUAAGGCGGCUCUCUAGUACGGUACUGACGCUGAGACGCGAAAGCGUGGGGAGCGAACAGG
rnacentral:rRNA from 1 species